rnacentral:rRNA from 1 species
AGAGUUUGAUCAUGGCUCAGAGCGAACGCUGGCGGCAUGCUUAACACAUGCAAGUCGCACGGUCGGCAACGGCAGUGGCGGACGGGUGAGUAACGCGUAGGAACGUAUCCUGUGGUGGGGGACAACCCUGGGAAACUGGGGCUAAUACCGCAUAGGUGCUGAGGCACAAAGCCGUGAGGCGCCAUGGGAGCGGCCUGCGUCCGAUUAGCUAGUUGGUGGGGUAAAGGCCUACCAAGGCUGCGAUCGGUAGCUGGUCUGAGAGGACGAUCAGCCACACUGGGACUGAGACACGGCCCAGACUCCUAGGGGAGGCAGCAGUGGGGAAUAUUGGAGAAUGGGCGCAAGCCUGAUCCAGCAAUGCCGCGUGGGUGAUGAAGGCCUUCGGGUUGUAGAGCGCUUUUCGCGGGGAGGAUGAUGGCGGUACCGGGGGAAGAAGGGCCGGCUAACGGCGGGCGAGCGGGCGCGGUAAUAC